AGGGUGCAAGCGUUGUCCGGAAUUAUUGGGCGUAAAGAGCUCGUAGGCGGUUCGGCAAGUCGGAUGUGAAAUCUCCACGCUCAACGUGGAGGGGCCAUUCGAAACUGCCGUGACUCGAGUCCGGUAGGGGAGUGUGGAAUUCCCGGUGUAGCGGUGAAAUGCGCAGAUAUCGGGAGGAACACCAGUAGCGAAGGCGGCACUCUGGGCCGGUACUGACGCUGAGGAGCGAAAGCGUGGGUAGCAAACAGG
rnacentral:rRNA from 1 species